CCUGGCUCAGGAUGAACGCUAGCGACAGGCCUAACACAUGCAAGUCGAGGGGCAGCACAAGGAGCAAUCUGAGGUGGCGACCGGCGCACGGGUGAGUAACACGUAUGCAACCUGCCUGUAAGCGGGGAAUAACCCGUUGAAAGACGGACUAAUACCGCAUAAUACUAAAUUACUGCAUGGUAAUUUAUUUAAACAUUUAUGGCUUACAGAUGGGCAUGCGCAUGAUUAGCUAGUUGGAGAGGUAACGGCUCCCCAAGGCAACGAUCAUUAGGGGUUCUGAGAGGAAGGUCCCCCCACACUGGUACUGAGACACGGACCAGACUCCUACGGGAGGCAGCAGUGAGGAAUAUUGGUCAAUGGACGAGAGUCUGAACCGGCCAAGUCGCGUGCAGGAAGAAUUGUCCUAUGGAUUGUAAACUGUCUUUUGCAGGGGAAUAAAGUGCAUCACGUGUGAUGUUUUGUAUGUACUCUGCGAAUAAGGAUCGGCUAACUCCGUGCCAGCCGCCGC
rnacentral:rRNA from 1 species